rnacentral:rRNA from 1 species
AAGGCUUGACAUACACCGGAAACGGCCAGAGAUGGUUGCCCCCUUGGUGGUCGGUGUACAGGUGGUGCAUGGUUGUCGUCAGCUCGUGUCGUGAGAUGUUGGGUUAAGUCCCGCAACGAGCGCAACCCUCGUUCUAUGUUGCCAGCGCGUUAUGCGGGGACUCAUAGGAGACUGCCGGGGUCAACUCGGAGGAAGGUGGGGAUGACGUCAAAUCAUCAUGCCCCUUAUGUCUUGGGCUUCACGCAUGCUACAAUGGCCGGUACAAAGGGCUGCGAUACCGUAAGGUGGAGCGAAUCCCAAAAAAGCCGGUCUCAGUUCGGAUUGAGGUCUGCAACUCGACCUCAUGAAGUCGGAGUCGCUAGUAAUCGCAGAUCAGCAACGCUGCGGUGAAUACGUUCCCGGGCCUUGUACACACCGCCCGUCAAGUCAUGAAAGUCGGUAACACCCGAAGCCGGUGGCCUAACCCUUGUGGAAGGAGCCGUCGAAGGUGGGAUCGGUGAUUAGGACUAAGUCGUAACAAGGUAAGCGUAGAUGA